UACGUAGGGUGCGAGCGUUGUCCGGAAUUACUGGGCGUAAAGAGCUCGUAGGUGGUUUGUCGCGUUGUUCGUGAAAACUCACAGCUUAACUGUGGGCGUGCGGGCGAUACGGGCAGACUGGAGUACUGCAGGGGAGACUGGAAUUCCUGGUGUAGCGGUAGGAAUGCGCAGAUAUCAGGAGGAACACCGGUGGCGAAGGCGGGUCUCUGGGCAGUAACUGACGCUGGAGGAGCGAAAGCGUGGGGAGCGAACAGG
rnacentral:rRNA from 1 species